AUUGAACGCUGGCGGCAGGCUUAACACAUGCAAGUCGAACGAGUGGCGGACGGGUGAGUAAUGCUUGGGAAUCUAGCUUAUGGAGGGGGAUAACUACGGGCAACUGUAGCUAAUACCGCGUACCAUAGGAUGAGCCCAAGUGGGAUUAGGUAGUUGGUGAGGUAAAGGCUCACCAAGCCGACGAUCUCUAGCUGGUCUGAGAGGAUGAUCGGCCACCUUGGAAGUGAGACAGGGACCAGACUCCUACGGGAGGCAGCAGUGGGAAAUAUUGCACAAUGGGCGCAGGCCUGAUGCAGCCAUGCAGCAUGUAUGAAGAAGGCCUUAGGGUUGUAAAGUACUUUCAGCGGGGAGGCGUUACCCGCAGAAGAAGCACCGGCUAACUCCGUGCCAGCCGCCGCGGUAAUUC
rnacentral:rRNA from 1 species